rnacentral:rRNA from 1 species
UACGUAGGGGGCAAGCGUUGUCCGGAUUUAUUGGGCGUAAAGAGCGUGUAGGCGGCCAUGCAGGUCAGCUGUGAAAACUCGAGGCUCAACCUCGAGACGUCGGUUGAAACCGCAUGGCUAGAGUCCGGAAGAGGAGAGUGGAAUUCCCGGUGUAGCGGUGAAAUGCGCAGAUAUCGGGAAGAACACCCGUGGCGAAGGCGGCUCUCUGGGACGGUACUGGACGCUGAGACGCGAAAGCGUGGGGAGCGAACAGG